rnacentral:rRNA from 1 species
UACGUAGGGGGCAAGCGUUGUCCGGAUUUAUUGGGCGUAAAGAGCGUGUAGGCGGCCAGAUAGGUCUGCUGUGAAAACUCGAGGCUUAACCUCGAGAUGUCGGCGGAAACCAUCUGGCUAGAGUCCGGAAGAGGAGAGCGGAAUUCCUGGUGUAGCGGUGGAAUGCGUAGAGAUCCGGAAGAACACCGGUGGCGAAGGCGGCCUGCUGGGCAGUAGCUGACACUGAGGCGCGACAGCGUGGGGAGCAAACAGG